GUCCUUAACCGUGCAUCAAUAUGCAAUUGCUUGGAAAGGAGAAUGCGUUGGAUUGGGGGAGUUAAUCCACCAAACGGUUCCUGGAUGCGAAAAGUAACAUUAGCAUCUGAAAUCCAGCAAGUGUUGUUUUACACACACCGGUACAGCAACAAUUUUCUCUAUGAGAGAAGAUAUGUUUUAAAUGGGCCAUAUUUAUAGUUGGAGAAUCAGUGAAACGUCAGAGACUUAAAGCAAAAGGAAGGGGCAUUGUCUUUUUGAAUUAACUCAUGUCAGCUUAAUUUGACUUCUUUACAAUUUUAUGUGAAUAAUUUUGCAAAUCUGUCACUAACCAAAUACAAAAAGAGACAUCAAAACAUAUUUGCAUCAUUUUGGCACUGAAACUCAGAAAUGUCAGUUUGAUGGACAAACAUAAAAAAAUGUAUCUUUGCACAAAGUGACUAAAACCUAAAUCAGCACAUAUUUUUUACAGCUAUUUCAGUUUCAUUCAGUUCAUUCAUAAAUCAAUUCUCAAUCAAGUCUCUCCGUAUGCAUUGUAAAACACAGCCACAUCAACUCAAACCAUUGUUCAAUUACACAUCAUUUAAAUGUAAAAAAUCAACAAAAACCAAAACUGAAAGUAGCAAAAAUCUGUUUAGAAGUUAAAUACAAUGGUCCAUUACCUAUAAUUCAGGUCAGCUUCCACAACGUAGAUUUCAACGAAUUCUACCUGUCUAAUUUUGUAUGCUAUUUUUUUCUACACCACAUUGUUUCUGCAUCUUUAUUGGCUUAAGAUCUCUGGUUGCCUGAAUCUCCUCCAUGCCCUGUUUGAUGACAAUAAAUGAUGAUAAAAAUGUGUGGUGUGCACAUAUGUAAAUUAGCCAUAUUCUUCUCUUCGAAUUUGUAUUUCUGAAGUGUAAAAUGUUGUUUCCUUCACAGCUUUUUACCACAGCAAGUGGUAAAAAGCACUGCAAAAGUUUUCUUACUUGCGCUUGCUAAUGUUUUUUAAUGGUAGACUUACAUUGAAAUAUUUUAUUAUCUUCUGUACAGUAAAAUGGCUUCUCUUGUUAUGGCCACGCCUCUCCUCACAUCAGCUGGCACACACAUGCAAUCUACCUUAUUGGUCUCACCUGUGUGGUUGGCUUUAUACCAGGUGCUGCCCUGCUGAGCUGUGCCAGAAGAUCGCCUGCUUUCCUACCUGUAACUUGCAAAGGCUCUAGCUGCCUUCAUCUUUAUGAUGAGACCGGCCUGGACCUUCCUCGUCUCUUGGAUUUGGGUCAGAUGGGGCCUCUCUCUCUUCACCUCCCUCCCUGGAUUUCCAUGAACUACAGUCACAAAGCUGUGCUUCCCCUUAUUACCACACAAUGCACCUGGCACCCCCUGGUGGACAAAGAAGUCCCUGGCAUGGAGCACUCAUGUUUCUGUUAAAAGUUAAACUGCUGCCUGUUCUGACCAGUCUGCUUCACUGCGAUCGACUCGUGCAUCCUGAUAUCCCCUGUGAGUUCUCAUGUGUUUUGUGAGAUCUGACUUGGCAGUAAUACUUAAAUUCUGUACAGGAAAACGGCUUCUCUCCUGUGUGAAGCCUCAUGUGUAUAUGGAGAGCAGCUCUGAGUAAAACUUUUCACAUUUUUCACAAGAACGGUCUCUCUGCUGUGACUAAUGGGUUUUGAGAGCAGUGCAAUAAUUAACCUUUUGUGACAUUCUGUACAGGAAAAUGGCUUUUCUCCUGUGAGUUCUUGUGUAUUGACAUUAGGAAAAAUUGCCAAAAGUUCUGUUGGAUUCUUUGCAGGAACAAGGCUUCUCUUCUGUAUGAAUUCUUGUAUGUGAUGUUAAGAUUUCCUCCUACAUCCUGGAUUACCUGUUCUGCUGAUUACAUAAGUGGAGUCUCAAUGUAUCAAGCUGUUCUUCAUCCUGACUGAUGCAGAGCUUCUCUUGAUUUUUAAUCUGUGGAGUUCCUGGUUCCCUUUCUGCUUGCAGAUAUCUUACUCUUCAGAUACAGGGGCGGAGAUUUAAAACGGUGUAAAACCCCAUGUGGAAGAAAAGUUGUGGAAAAAGAAUAAACUUGAAUGUG